CGGAAGUGUCAAUGUUUACAUGGUUAGCAUUUCUGUCCCCUGUCUAAGCUAACAGCUCACAAGCUAACAGUUAACAAGCAGGUGGAUGUUUUCCCGGUCAGGUUUAUCUAUAAUUCUUAUACGGUUAUCUGAAUCUGUUCAGUCGUUCAAAGCUGUGACGUUAAACCGUUUAUCUGACGUCGUCCCGGUGCUCAGCCGCCCGUUAACCGUCCUCUCCCGGUGCAGACUGCCUCCUCUGCCCGGUGCUCACCGGUUAGCAAGUUCCUCCAGAAACAGACCAAUGCCCAAAAAAGAGAAAGCGGUGAAAGGACGGCCGGCUGCCAGUGUAGCAGCAGAGGCAGAAGCUUCCUGUCCAGUGGCUCGAGACAAAAGUGGAGCCGUCACCAUAACGGUGCACGCCAAGCCCGGCUCCAAACACAGCAGCAUCACAGAGGUUUCUGCAGAGGCGGUGGGAGUUGCCAUCGCAGCCCCUCCAACAGACGGAGAAGCGAACACUGAGCUUAUACGCUUCCUGGCUGAAGUUCUGGAGCUGAAGAAAAGUCACAUCUCUCUUGACAAGGGCUCCAGGUCCAGAGACAAACUCAUCAGAGUGGACUCCUCUCUUAGUCCGGAGGAGGUGUUGAGGAGGCUUAGACAGGCUGCAGGCUGACAGGAGGGACGGGGGAGGUAAAUGGAGGCUGACACAUGCUGCAGGGCCACACACAGGAGGACAGAGGAUGGAGGAGGUUCUUAUCUCGUUCAUUUCACCUGCAAAACAAUGCCUUCACAGCUGGACCAGUAUGGCUACUGGUAAACCCGGAGAAAGCACAACGUCACCAUGGAAACAGACUGAUCCACCAGUGAGCUGGAGGCGUUUCCAGUGCUGGAGAGAUGUGACUGGAUAUGAUGUUUAUAUGUUGAGAUGUCUGGAAUGUUUGUGAUAUUUAUUUAAAUGACUUUGCUUUAAAUAAACAGACUAUGAAUCUGUGUGAUUAAAUCUUGAAUCUUCAAUAUUUUAUUAAAGACAAGCAGCUGUAAUCAAGCAGUA